CUUAACCCUUUUGAUAAGAUCAGCAUAAUGUUCUUUUCUUUUUUCUAGCAUGGGUUAUGAGACACCCUAAGUAUAUCAAAGGAAAGUGACCUCUUGUAAAACCUAUGCACUUUUCCACCAUUGUCUCAUAUUAGAGGCUACAUUUUGAGGCAGGUAAUAAGAACUCUUAUCCUUGUUAACCUUUUGCCUGAUUGAACCUCAUACUCCUGCAAAAUUGACACAAUUUUCUCUAAAGAAUACUUAUUAGUUGAAGCAAAUAUAAUAGUGUCAUCUGCAUAAGCAAGAUGAUUCAAAUUAGCACUCCAUUUGGGUAAACCAUACCCUACAAAUUGAGUAUCUUCAAAUAAGGAAUUUAAGGCCUUGCUUAGAACCUCUACUGAUAGAACGAAUAAAGCAGGGGACAAAGGAUCCCCUUGCUUCACUCCCCUGGUAGAAUGAAAGAAACCAUGAGAUUGACCAUUAACCAAGAUAGAAUACCAGUUAUUUGAAAUUAUCCUCCAAAUAAUAUCAACAAAUACUUCUGAAAAACCCAUUUUCCUUAGAACUUUCAUAAAAAAAAACCAAGAUACUCUGUCAUAAGCUUUAGCCAUAUCUAGCUUUAUGGCAACAUUGGAAGGUUUACCCCUCUUCCUAAUAUCAGUGACAAUCUCUUGAGCCAAUAGAACAUUCUCAAUGAUGCUUCUACCCUUCACAAAGCCUGAUUGAUUGCAAGAGAUCAAUCUGGGAAGAAGGAUUUCUAUUCUGUUAUGAACAAUCAUGGAGAUUAUCUUGUUAAUAAAGUUGCUCAAACUAAUAGGUCUCAAAUCUGUAAAAGCUUGUACCCGGUCUUUCUUAGACAGUAGAACCAAAUUAGUAUGAGUAAUGGAUUUAGGAAGUGUAUUACCCCUACAAAAAAUCACCUACCAGCUUGAGAAUAUUAUUCCUUACAAUCUCCCAGUAACUUUGAUAGAAUCUUCCUGUUAGUCCAUCAGGGCCACUAGCACUGUCCUCGUUUAAUUCAAAAACAGCCCUUUUAACUUCAUUUAAAUCAGGUUGUCUACAAAGUUUUACAUUAUAUUCAUCUCGGAUGGAUUUCUGAAUAUGUCUGAGAAGUGAGAAAGAUGUGGCAUCUCUUUCUUGGCAGAACUGAUUUUGAUAAACAUUAACUGCUUCCGCUGCUAUGUCUUGUUCAUCCUCUAACCAAUUUCCCUCAUUGUUCUGGAUCCUUUGCAAGUGCAGUCUUUUUAUUCUCCCUUUGGAAGAACUUAGUAUUUCUGUCACCAUUCUCAAACCAAUCAUAUCCUGACUUUUGUUGCCAGAAUAUCUCUUCAAAGUGUAGAUAUCUUCUAUAUUCAGCUUGAGCUCUUUGCAGUACUUCUCUAUUUUCUGCUGUGGGAACCUUAUCAAACAACUUUUCUUUAAUCUUCACAAUGUCCUCUCUAAUGAUAAGUUGCUUGACAAUGUCACCAUAAGUAUCUCUACUCCAUUUUGUCAGUGCUGCUUUAACUUUCUUGAUAUUCUCCUUGAAAUCUAGAAAAGGAUUCUGAGAGGCACUUGGAUUCCAAUUCUGUCUAACGAUCUCCUUAAAAUAAUCGUUCUCCGUCCAGAAUUUGAGAAACCUAAAAGGUUUCCUAUAAAUGGUCAACCUAGCUUCACACUUCAGCAACAUAGGGGCAUGAUCAGAUCCAGUUCUGGGUAGAUGUUCAACCUCAGUAUAAUUAAACCAAUCUUGCAUUUGUUGAUUGAUUAGAAUUCUAUCUAAUCUUUCAAAAAUGCAAUCAUUACCAGCUCUACCAUUCCACCAGGUGAAUGGACUUCCCUUAAAUUGUACUUCUGUUAAGUCACAAGAUGAUAUGCAACUCCCAAAAUCUUCACAAUCAGCUUCAUUAACUGGUAAACCACCAAUCUUUUCUUCUGAAUUAAGCACCACAUUAAAAUCACCCUCGAUCAACCCUGGAUUAUCCAUUUCUGCUUCCAAUUGAUAUAAAUCCUCCCAAAGGAUCAAUCUUUGAUCAGAAGUACAUUUAGCAUACACCAAGGUAACAUAAAAGCUAUUUGCAUGGCUGUGAUGCUUUAACUGCAUAGUUAGUUGUUGUUCUGUGUCUUUAAUGACUGUUGUAUCUACAUCAUUGUUUGUAAAACACCAAAUCUUGCCGUUACAAUUAGUUAUAGCACUUGGCAUCUUCAAUCUCCUCCUAUAUUUAUUGAUGUAUCUGGAAUUCUGAAAUGGUUCCAUUAAUCCAAUGAAUGAAAAAUUAUGGAACUUGUGAAGCAUUUGCACCCUUUGAAAAGCUUGUUGAGAUUUCACUGAUCUUAUAUUCCAUAUAAAAGCCUUCAUUGGUAUCUUUUAGGGGUUGAUUUAAUUCUCUUUGGCUGAACUCUGAUUGGCUGAGUGUUCUCUCCAUUACCUUGUUUCUUUCCCUUUCUUGCAUAUUUCAUUACCCUUGGUGAUAGAUCUGCUUCAAUCAAGAUAUUCUCUAGUAAGUCAUCUGACAGCUCUGAUUCUGUGAUACCUUUAGCAAUCUGUUCUUGAUAUGCAAUUUCUCCACCAGUGUUUUCUCCAAAGUUAUGAGAUACAAUCUCAUGUAAGAUUCUGUUAGGAGAUUCCAUCCUAAUCAAUUGUGAUUCAUCUAUCUGCAUAGCAAUAGGUAUCUCCAUCAAUGCUAAACUAUCAUCUUGAGAUUUUACAUGAGGAUCCACCUGAAGACUUCCUCCAUCAAUUGUGCAAUCAUGAACAGUGCUAGUAUCUUCAUCCCGAUGGUUUGAAUUUCCUUUACCUGCUUGAUUGUUGCAAGUACCAUCAUGUAUUCCUUGUAGAGCAACACUUAAAAACUCCUCGGUAGCACCUUUUACUCCUCCAUUUGCAUUCUGCAGCUUCUCUCCUUCCUCUCUGGAACCUAUGUUGACAUUUGUUUCACAUUUGGACUGCUCUAAAUUGCCGUUUUGUUGCAAAUUAGGUGCAUCACUCAUUGCUGCAACUUUAUUUCUUUCAGCAGGACUCUGCUUCACUGGUGAUGAAAUUUCCUUCUGCAAUCUGGAAACAAAAGCCUUGGAGACCCAAUCUUUUGUUGAUUCUUUUCCACUUUUGUCGUUAUCUUCCUGGUUUUGAGACACAGUCUAGGGGUCCAGAUAAACAGUAGAUAUUUUAGAUCGCAGAGAAGAUUGUACAGGGGUGAACCUUCUAUAUUCCAGAAGGCCUGUUUACUUUCAGAUAUUUAUCUUUAGUUAUGUUUUGGUCUACUGGGGGCCUUGUCCCAGUUUUCAGACUGUUUUGUUUAGUUCAUAGUAGAGAUUUCGCAGACUGAGUCAGACAUUAUUAUUGUCCAGAUAUAUUUUGGGUUUCAAUUUUUCAGUAUUAUGAUCACAUUCAGAUUGACCAUGUUUCCAGAUUAGAUUUCUAUUUUCGCA